UAUAAAUAAAAUAAUUUGAAGUUUAAAAAAAAUUUAUAGGUUAAAGCAUCACCGGUUGCAUAACUUAGUAAUUGACAGUUCCAAUGUGACUUAGGGGCCCCACUUUUUUUUUGUUUAAUUAACUCAGUUAAAUAAAGUCCAACAUAAAUUAAUUAAAGUUAUUAUUAAUUUCGUUUCAUUAAAAUAAAGUAAAAAAUUUAAAGCGAUAAAUUUGAUGACCUCUAAUCGGUAAGUCGGUAAGUUAGAUAACAAUAAUAAUACUUAGUAGUUGUCAGUUUUUACUUGUUUGAAGCGUCGGUUAAAACAGUUUUAAUUUUAAACAAAAUGUGCAUCCAAAUUGUUACAAAUACGGAAAUGUGAUAGUUAAAAAAUGGCUGUGAAGUUGUUUCAAAGAAUCAAUGUGAAGUUAUCGGUUAAAAAAUGGCUGUGAAGUUGUUUCAAGGAAUCAACGUGAAGUUAUCGGUAAGUUUCAAUUUUGACAGUUUAAAACCUAAUCUUAAAUCACAAAUUGUUAAUUCUUAUUAAAAUUGAAAUACUUACAAUUGCAUGGGGAAAGCCAUCAGUAAAAUUCCUAAAAGCUUUAAUAAUUUGUUCCUUAGUUUUUGUCGUUUUAAAAUCUUUACUAGAUGCCCCAUCGGCUCUCCUUAAACCUUCUAUUCUAAAUCCUAACGUUGCCGUAGAGGAAAUUGUUUCCCUCCAAACCAUAUA